UUUUGCCUAUGAUGACUUGCGAAUUGCCUACAUUAUCUGAUGAAUACCUUUGUGAUGAUAGUUGCAAGAUCUGAGGCUUGU